CUCUCAUGAUUGACCACCAUGAAGUUCCUCCUCUAUGCGAGAAAAUUCCCAUAAAAAAAACAAUUUAAACAAAGCAAUCGAUCUUACAACCUUCCUCCUUCGAUCUCUCCUCUAUCGUCUUCUUCACCUCUCUCAACAUGGCUAUCCCUGCCUCUUCGCCUUCUUAUGCGAAUCUUGGUUCACCUUCGAAUUCCUCCUCAAUCUCAACAAUAAGUGGACCCCAGUGGAUUUCAAAACUCACCCACAAAUCCUCUUACAAAGGGCGGAGACAGAGCUACCAGCGGUGGACCUGUUUGUGGCGACGGCGGGUGUGGCUUUGGAACCACCCAUAAUGACAGUCAACACCGUACAUGCUGUCACUCUUGGCGGAGGAGUGGCGUGCUACGUGUCAGACGAUGGUUGCUCCCAAUUCUCUCGCCUUUGGAUUCCUUUCUGUAAAAGGUACGAUAUUCAAGCCCGGGCUCCUUUCAGAUAUUUCUCUAAUGACGACGUCGUUUCGCCAAAUGGUUCCGCCCAGUGUCAUCUGGAAUGGCAAAGCACGAAGGUAACGCUUAAUUAAUUACAAAUCUGAACAAAUUAAGAAACGGUAUUUAUAAUAUAAACGAGAGUCUUGAUUAAUUAUGAAUUUGCAGGAGUGAAGAAGCAGUGAAUAGAACGUACGGUGCCCUAUGGAGAGUAUGCCCAUUUUGCAAAUACAGAUCAAAGGGACCAUUCCAAUAUAAUCAAGAUGAAAGCUAAUAAUCCAAACCUGGGUCCAAUGGUGUGGAAUUCUAAUGGUACUGUAUUUAUACUUCUGAAGGAAAUAACUCAAAUAUAUUACUGUCUUUCAAGUGGACUUACCGAAAAAAUGGCCAGCCAAGUGUGC